rnacentral:rRNA from 1 species
CCCUUAGAUGUUCUGGGCCGCACGCGCGCUACACUGAUGCAUUCAACGAGUCUAAAACCUGGUCUGAUAGGGCUGGGUAAUCUUUUGAAAGUGCAUCGUGAUUGGGAUAGAUGAUUGCAAUUCUUCAUCUUCAACGAGGAAUGCCUAGUAAACGCAAGUCAUCAGCUUGCAUUGAUUACGUCCCUGCCCUUUGUACACACCGCCCGUCGCUACUACCGAUUGAACGUUUUAGUGAGGUAUUUGGACUGGACCUUCGGAGGUUCGCGCCUCCGUUGCUGUUCGGGAAGACUCCCAAACUUGAGCGUUUAGAGGAAGUAAAAGUCGUAACA